ensembl:misc_RNA 7SK 7SK RNA
GGAUGUGAGGACACUCUGGCUCUGACAUCUGUCACCCCAUUGGUCUCCAGGGUUGAUUUGGCCAAUCUGGUUGGCUAGGCAGGUGCCCCCUUCCCCCAUCAUCACUCCAUGUGUGUCCCUCCCAAAGCUCCAUACUUGGUCAAAGAGGACGACCUUCCCAGAUAGAGGAGGACUGUUCUUUGGUCAAGGGUAUACGAGUAGCUGCACUCCACUGCUAAAACCUCCAAAUAAGCUCUCAAGGUUCAUUUGUAGGAGAACAUAGGGCAGUCAAGGACUCCAGACCCAUCCAAAUGAGGUGCUGCAUGUGGCACUCUGCCUUUCUUU